rnacentral:rRNA from 1 species
UGUGUAGGCGGAGCAGUCAGUGCUUUGUGAAAUCCCUCGGCUUAACCGAGGAAUUGCUUGGCAUACUGCUGUUCUUGAGGCAAGUAGGGGUGCACGGAACUCUUGGUGGAGCGGUGGAAUGCGUAGAUAUCAAGAGGAACGCCAGUGGUGAAGACGGUGCACUGGGCUUGUUCUGACGCUGAGACACGAAAGCGUGGGGAGCAAACA